rnacentral:rRNA from 1 species
UCGCCUGUUUUACAAAAACAUGUCUGUGUGAAGGUUUACAGAGUCUGGCCUGCCCAUUGAAAUAUAUAAAAGGCCGCGGUAUAUUAACUGUGCAAAGGUAGCAUAAUCAUUAGUUUUUUAAUUGGAGGCUUGUAUGAAAGGUCGGACAAAGGAUAAGCUGUCUUUAUUUUUAUUUUUGAAUUUGUCUUUUAAGUGAAAAGACUUAAAUAAAUUUAAGGGACGAUAAGACCCUAUAAAUCUUUAUAUUAAGUUAUUUUUAUAUUAAUUUAUAAUGUAGAUGAAAAUAGAAAUAUAUAAUAUUAUAUUGGGGUGAUAAGAAUAAAAAAUAAACUGUUCUAAUUUAAAAACAAAGUUGUUUGAAAAUAAUAGAUCCUUUUUAAAGAGAAAAAGUUUAAGUUACUUUAGGGAUAACAGCGUUAUUUUUUUUGAGAGUUCAAAUCGAAAAAAAAGUUUGCGACCUCGAUGUUGAAUUAAAAUUUUCUUUAUGGUGUAGUAGUUAUAAGAGAGAGUCUGUUCGACUUUUAAAAUUUUACAUGAUUUGAGUUCAGACCG